rnacentral:pre_miRNA from 1 species
CAAAUACUUCCUCCGUUCCGAAUUACUUGUCGCAAAUAUGGAUGUAUCUAGAUGUAUUUUAGUUCUAGAUACAUCCAUUUCUAUGACGAGUAAUUUGGAACGGAGGGAGUAAUAC